GACAGAGGUGCCGAGCGUUAGGCGGAAUCACUGGGCUUAAAGCGUGUGUAGGCGGACGGGUAAGUACCUUGUGAAAUCCCACGGCUCAACCGUGGAACGGCUGGGUAUACUGCCCGUCUUGAGCCACUUAGGGGCCGUCGGAACAAAUGGUGGAGCGGUGAAAUGCGUAGAUAUCAUUUGGAACACCGGUGGCGAAGGCGGGUCUCUGGGCCGUAACUGACGCUGAGGAGCGAAAGCGUGGGGAGCGAACAGG
rnacentral:rRNA from 1 species